rnacentral:lncRNA from 1 species
AGGUUGGGCUAUAUGAAGGUGAGGUUGGGCUGUAAGAUGGAGAGGUUGGGCUGUAAGAGGGUGAGGUAGGGCUGUAAGAGGGUGAUGUGGGGCUGUAAGACGGAGACGUGGGGCUGUAAGCCGGAGAGGUUGGGCUAUACGCAGGUGAGGUUGGGCUGUAUGCUGGAGAAGUUGGGCUGUAGCUCGGAGAUGUAGGGCUGUAGCUCGGAGAUGUGGGGCUAUAGCUAGGAGAUGUUGGGCUGUAGGAAGGAGACGUUGGUGAAUAAGAUGGGCUUGUGGGAGAAUACGCAGGGCUUGUAGGACUAUAUCCAGGAGAACUAGGACUAUAUGUUGGGGACGUAGGGCUGUAACCAGGGGAAGUAGGACUGUACCCAGGUGAGGUGGGGCUGUAUCCAGGAGAUGACGGGCUGUAUCCAGGAGAUGAAGGGCUGUACCCUGGAGAUGAUGUAGGAGAAAACGCCAUCCCGCCCACAUACGGAGAAAACUGAGCAUCUGAAACAGGAGAUAACCGAAGAUUUGGGCUCAGCAUAUAAUUUGGUGACAUCAUGCCAUCAUGAUAUGGGGUCCCUGAGAUGGGUGAACGGCCAGGAGUCAUGCCAAACUCCAGUCCACCUUCCAUAUAACUGGGCAGAGGGAUCUCAAUAGCUUGUUUAGCAUCUCUUCAUUCAUAUACAAAGCACAAUCACCUGUGCCAAUAGGUGCAAGCUGUCCUAACAUGAUAUUCUCAGUUACACCCCUGAGGUAAUCUGUUUCUGCAUACACAGCAGCAUCAAGAAGAAUGUCCACUGUUUCUUCAAAGGAGCAUCUCAUCAUGGGGCCAGUAUCGUUGCGAUUGAUACCAUGACGGGUGAUGGCCAUCAAGUGACCACGAUAUGUCAUGGUAUCACACAAUAUAGCCAAAUGUCUAUAGUUCACGUAAGACCCAUCAAAUGAUAUGACAACACGCAACUCAUCCAGCAAGGCUUUGCGAACUGCCUCAAUGCCAAGAACUUCAAUAACUUCAAUCAAAUGAUUGCUUGUUGUCCUACUUGCAUCUACAUCUUCAUGGCAAAUUACAGCUAAAAGAUUAACACCUUCGGUGUCAAGCAUCCACUCAUUCUCAGCCUUGAAGCCUUCAUUUUCAUCAAACUUAUUUACCUUGCCAUUCUUUAUGAACACCUUAUUGAUAUCUGGUAUGCCUCGAAGAGCCAUUUCUGUAAGCAUGUUACCCUCAAUCUUUUUGAGGAAGACAUCAUCCUCAGCAGAUUCAUCAUUCAACUCACCUUUAGGGGCUUCAUCAUUCAUAAUACGAAUACGAAGGAUAAGCUUUUCAGCAUUAUCAUCAUUAAAUAUGCACGUUAGAUCACUAUCAAAUUCAGCAUUAAUCUUAUGGGAAAUAUCAGCCAUGUUGAGUUUCUUAUCCACCAUCAUUUCUCUGUUUAACUCUAUGCGAAGCAACCACGGAGAGAUCUUGUCGGGGUCAACAUCAUCAUCUGGCAUCUCAAAGUAGGACGUCACAAAUUCAACAUCUUCCUCAAUAAUAGUGCUCUUAGGAUCUGGAUCGUACCAUACCUCUGUUGCUUGUGUUACACUCCGCAAGGUUGUAUACUCCAGAGCGCACUGGACAUUUUUGGCCUUCUCCUUAGUUUUGCUUACACCAGGCUUCAAGUAUACCGAGAGNAGGUAAUCUGUUUCUGCAUACACAGCAGCAUCAAGAAGAAUGUCCACUGUUCUCAAAGGAGCAUCUCAUCAUGGGGCCAGUAUCGUUGCGAUUGAUACCAUGACGGGUGAUGGCCAUCAAGUGACCACGAUAUGUCAUGGUAUCACACAAUAUAGCCAAAAUGUCUAUAGUUCACGUAAGACCCAUCAAAUGAUAUGACAACACGCAACUCAUCCAGCAAGGCUUUGCGAACUGCCUCAAUGCCAAGAACUUCAAUAACUUCAAUCAAAUGAUUGCUUGUUGUCCUACUUGCAUCUACAUCUUCAUGGCAAAUUACAGCUAAAAGAUUAACACCUUCGGUGUCAAGCAUCCACUCAUUCUCAGCCUUGAAGCCUUCAUUUUCAUCAAACUUAUUUACCUUGCCAUUCUUUAUGAACACCUUAUUGAUAUCUGGUAUGCCUCGAAGAGCCAUUUCUGUAAGCAUGUUACCCUCUAAUCUUUUUGUAGGAAGACAUCAUCCUCAGCAGAUUCAUCAUUCAACUCACCUUUAGGGGCUUCAUCAUUCAUAAUACGAAUACGAAGGAUAAGCUUUUCAGCAUUAUCAUCAUUAAAUAUGCACGUUAGAUCACUAUCAAAUUCAGCAUUAAUCUUAUGGGAAAUAUCAGCCAUGUUGAGUUUCUUAUCCACCAUCAUUUCUCUGUUUAACUCUAUGCGAAGCAACCACGGAGAGAUCUUGUCGGGGUCAACAUCAUCAUCUGGCAUCUCAAAGUAGGACGUCACAAAUUCAACAUCUUCCUCAAUAAUAGUGCUCUUAGGAUCUGGAUCGUACCAUACCUCUGUUGCUUGUGUUACACUCCGCAAGGUUGUAUACUCCAGAGCGCACUGGACAUUUUUGGCCUUCUCCUUAGUUUUGCUUACACCAGGCUUCAAGUAUACCGAGAGAGAGGGUGUUUUAAUUUUCUUAGCAACAUUAAUAAUCUCCCUCAACCUUGGAACACCUAAAGUUAACAAUUCUUGGCACUCACACCAGCAUAGUGAAAUGUAUUGAGGGUCAUCUGUGUAGCAGGUUCACCAAUGGAUUGUGCAGCAACACAUCCUAUCAUUUCACCAGCAGCAACAAGUGACUGAAGAAAACGGGAUUCUAUCUCGCCAACUACCCAGUCAAAAGCCUCACGGGUAAGUCUGUACUCCUUCAGGACCCUUUUACUUGCUAAAGCACUACGAAGCAAUAUAUUGAAGAAAAGAGUAGCAUUCUUCUGUGCUUCCAAACUCAGAUAAUCAUCACCAACAACCACCUUAAGCCUUUCUUGUAACUUAUCAACAGCUUCUACAAUCUCCAUUGGAUGCAUAUCAGACGGUCUCCGAAAAUCAACUCUAAAGGUCUUCUGUGCAUUCAAAACAAGCCUCUUGAUGUUGACAGGGAGGGGCCAAGAAUUGUCACCCGUGGUGGCAAUCUCUGUUCCAAGUUGAUACCUAUCGGCUUCAAGUUUCUGAACCUCUGCAUCAAACACACUGCGGAUUUCACGAAUCGUUUUCAGAUCUUCCACAGCUUCAGGUAACAUAUAAUUAGGAUUCCAGUUUGGGUGAUCAAUCUCAUAUUUGUACAUGUCAUUGAAAUCCGAUCUCUUCAACUUCAGUGAUUCCAAAGGCUGUGAUUCAAUCCAAACUGCAUCCAUACCAUCUUCCCCGUACAGAAACUGAAUCACAUCACCUAACGAAUUCCUAACAGUCCCAUCAUACUUAACCAUGAUAUCUUCCAUAGCCUUCACCAAUCGCCUCUGAAUAUAUCCAGUCUCAGAAGUUUUCACUGCAGUGUCAAUAAGACCUUCCCUACCACCCAUGGCAUGGAAAAAGAACUCUUGAGGAGACAAUCCUCGAAGAUAUGAGUUCUCCACAAAACCACGACUCUCUGGACCAUAAUCAUCUUUGGUGAAGUGUGGAAGUGUGCGAUCCACAAAACCAAAAGGAAUUCGCUUGCCUUCAACAUUCUGCUGACCCACACAUGCAGUCAUCUGAGAAAUAUUGAUGAAACUUCCCUUAGACCCUGCAGUGACCAUAGCUUUGAGGUUGUUACUUUCUGCCAAGCUCUUCUGAGCACUGCUUCCAGCAUCAUCACGAGCCUUAUUCAACACCUGAAGGCACAAAACAUAUAUAAGGGAAUCACCAGGCUGCAGCAAGGAAAUCAAAAUUUUUAACAAACCUGGUUAACUCUGUUCUCGAACGAUUCCAUCAUUGUUCUUCCUGGCUCAGCUUCCAAUUGCUUUUCUUGUGCAGCCCUGAUAAGUUCAUUCACCUCAUUCUUAGCUUUGUUAAUAGUUUCAGAGAUCUUCGUCAUUGUAUCAUGAUCAGCAAUUGUAUCUCCAAUUCCCAUGCUAAAAGCGUUCUGCAAAAGCCAAUAAUUGACCAGCCAUUGUGUAUGUCCCAAAAAUUUCCGAGCUGCAUCUGGACCGACUUCUUCCCUGAGACCAGUAUACAUUAUAUUAAACACAUAAAUAUGAAUAAAGAAUCUUUCGGGCUUUCAGUUCAUUAUUAUAAUAUUUAUUACUCCUUGUUUCAUGUGCCAUAUCAUAUGUUUUGAUGUCACAAAUGCUAUAAUAUUCACACAGAAGAGCUACUAGAGUGGAGGAAGACUGAUAUAUGCAAAAGCUAAAUUGUUAAAGAGUACAGAAAUUUUCAAUAAGAUACUCAUGUAGUUUUAAACUUCUGAAGAAAAUUAAUCUUCUCUUCUACAAAUUCCGAUGGAGUAAGCAAAGGAACACUUUCUUGAAAUGGCAUUAGUUUUAUUGAUAUCUAUAAUGAGUGCAAGCAUGGAGAUUGAUAAAGUGUUUUGUCUGCAAAGAAACAGUACCCAUUUUUUUGUGCCAAAAGGAGAAUCUUUUUGCUAGUGAAAAGAGAGGGUAUUUCAUUGGUAACUCAAGCAAGUUCUUUUGAAAGUAUUACUUCUUCAAUCAACAUAUUGCGAGUUCUGACUCAUUUGCGAGAUCCUAGAAUAUAUAAAUAAAAGACACCAACUUCAUUUAAAGUAUUUGCAUACAUAUGCUCCCAAUCCCCAUUGCCCAUAGAGCAAUGGACCAAUUUAAUACAACAUGAAUUCUUCAGAAGAUAAAAGUGAAAGUCAUGCUUUUGCUCUUAAAUUUAAGGUUGAACGAAAAAUGUGACCCGCAAACAGCCCCAUACCUCCAUUUUACCCAACUUUCCACUUAUUACAUUUUGCUACUAGAUACUUCAGGUAUGUUACCCGCAAUCAGCCCCAAUUCAUAAUAUGGAUAAGUUGGGUGGGCGUUUAGGAGACAAUAGUUUCCUUUCAAAACCCACCAAAUGCAGAAAUGGUACUGCAAAAAUUCCAGAAAGAACGUACCAAAUAACAUGUAUGAGACUUCCACUAGAUGACCCGAGUGUUUUCUUGCAUAGGGUGCCUGAAAGUAACUCCCCUUUUUCUAUCCGUACUUGAGUAUCCCCAGGAGUAAUAAAUCCUUUUUCAGUUUCUUGAUGCCAUGAAGAAUACCUUAAUAGAUUUAUCUGUCUUGGAAUGAUUAAAUUAAAUACUUGUUUCCCAGUCCAAAGAGGCUUAGGUUUCAGAAUUGUUGGAGCAGGUACUUUGCCAUCAAAAUCCUCCCACCACAUAAGGAUGUUCAUAAAAACAUCCUGCGAACAAUACAGACAGCGAUAUCAGAUUGAAUGUGGACACUUACCUAAAAAUUACAUAAUGAUGACAGAAAAUCAAAUGUUACCUUGUCAAUAAAAGUAUCUCUCUUAGUGAUUUUGCGACAUCCUAGUAGUGUAUCCUGCACAAUACCCAUUACAGGUCGAUUUGAUUGAGGUGACACGAUGCAUUUUGGAACCAUCAUUAAUUCCAGAACUUCGGCUCUAGUUUCAAAUGACUGGGGCACGUGCAUAUUCAUUUCAUCUCCAUCAAAAUCAGCAUUGUAGGGUGAGGUAACAGACAGAUUUAAGCGGAAUGUUGAAUAUGGCAUAAUCUUGAUUCUGUGGCCCAUAAUGGACAUCUUAUGGAGACUCGGUUGCCGAUUGAACAGGACAAAGUCUCCAUCAUUUAAAUGUCUCUCAACCUGUACCAUCAAAUAAUAGGAAUCAGGUGUCAAAAGGAAUCCAAUGCUUGAUCAUUCUCAAUUAUAUAGCUGGGAGUCUCACCUUAUAUCCAAGUUCUAGAUGCUGAUCACUACUCUUUUUCAAGUACCGGAGAUCAAGCCUCUGUCCAUCAUCCCUAAUAAUAUAUUUUGCGCCAGUUUUACCAGGAGGGGGAUGAGGUCCAUAUUCCACAAGCUCUUUCAAUCUAUUUUCAAGGUCAAUAUCUGGUUAACAAGAAUAACCAAAAAGUAUAGAGGGAUCACUAUCAAGAAAUAUGGUAAGAGUGCCUAACCUUUCGAUGUUAUAUGGAGUUACAGUUUCAGGAUAUGUAAGAUUUAAGGCAAUACUCCAAGGCACACCCAGCUGGUCGAUGUUGAUUGUUGGGUCAGGUGUAAUCACAGUCCGAGCCGAAAAAUCUACUCGCUUACCCAUCAAGUUACCUCUGAUCCUACCAUCUUUUGCCUUAAGCCUGCUACAUAUUGAUUUAAUGGGUCUGCCAGAUCUUUGGGUAGCCUGAUGUAUACAAGGAUACUUCACUUGUUAGAUAAAUGAUGUUCCAGGAACUGCAUCCACAGUCUCAAUAUACUGAAAUAAUAUAACAUACUCUUGGUUGACCAGGUAAAUCGUUAUCAAAGUAUGUAGCCACAUGGAACUGCAGCAACUGUGCAAACUCAGAGAUGAUGUGUGCAGGAGCCCCAUUCCGCUCCUGCCUCUUUAAGUUCUCAUUAUGCCUAAUGAUCAUGGCCAGUUGAUGAGUUAAAUCAUCCUGCAUAAAUUGAUUCAAUUAUUAGAUUCUCCUGCAACUUAAAAGCAGCAAUCCGAGGAACAUGCAAUUGAUUGACUUGAUCAGUUUGCAGUGAACAGAACCCGAUACACUUAUCUGACCUAAAGGAACAAUUAGGGGUAAUCUAAACACCCAUGACAUUGUAGAGAUCAAAAGGAGAAGUCAUGCCUCACUCCGAGAAGAAGUAUCCAUCAUUACAGAAGGCCUAACUGGAGGAGGAGGGAUUGGAAGAACUUGAAGAAUCAUCCAGUCAGGGCGAGCAUAUUUUGGAUUCAAGCCCAACAACUGACAAUCUUCAUCAGUAAUUCUCUUCAGUAUGCUGAGCACCUGAAACAAAAAGGAAAUAGAGAUUGUUGGGAUUAGCGCAUAAAUCAAUCUAUCACAUUAUCCAGGCUGGAAAAAAAAGUUUGAAUCCCUAUUCUCUGGCAAUUUAUGAUAUAUGAUACCUUCUCUGCAGAGAGAAGUUGUUUUCGUUCAACAGGUUCAGGCAUCUGGUCCUGGUCAUCACUUUUCUUCUUCUGAAUCUUGUAUUCAGCAACCAUUUUCAUCCCAUCUAUAGAAAUCUUUGGCUGCUGAGCACCGCAUCCACCCCUAGACUUCUUCACAGGUUCUUCCGAAUCUUGACCUCGCACAUCGAUCUCAUCACCUCCUUCACAUUUGGAUUUGUUUUUGCAGGCAUCUAAUAUCUUCUUUAAUCUAUUCUUAGGGUUUCUAAUUCUCAUUGCUUGCUUGAACUUGGGAUCGUCCUAGAAAAAUUAACAAGGGAUCAAAAUACAUUGCAAAAGAAAACGAUUGUUCCAACUUCCAAGUAACUUUAUUUCCAUUUGAAGUAUAAUAUUCAGGCAAUAAUGAAAAUAACUAACUUUUACAACAGCAACACUCCUAGGAGAUGCAUCCAGAUGAUGAAAUACCUCAAACUGCUUCUAUCUUACCAAUAUGCAUUUCUAUAAAAGUAACACAAUUAUUGAAGACAUAACAGAACCUAGAAGCCUAAAACUGGAUCGUUGCUAGUCAUAAGUCUUACUAUCCAGUCACUCUUGCAAGUAAUAAGAAUGUUACAAUUAAAUCAGUUGCCCAGUUCAGGAUGGUCAUGAAUAAGACAGAAGUCUGACCCUCCUAGUAUACGAACAUAUACAUGAAAUAAGCAUUUUCCGUGAAUCCAGCAUAUGUUAUACACUUCUGAAAAAUUCAGUCUGCUACUCAGGCCUCACAACAGCGGAAUCAAUAGUCAUACCCAAUAUGAACCAAGUGAGCAUGACUGUACAAAUUCAUACUACUUAAACCGAAAACGUCCAUAACUUCAAUCUAACUACUCGGGAAAUGUACAAUACCUCAUCCGCUAAAAUCUUAGAGCAAUUGAAGCAGACACUGCGGAGAAUACUGAGCACAGUCUUCAUGAAGCCAAUGUGAAACAUAGGUUUGGCGAGCUCAAGGUGACCGAAGUGACCGGGGCAGUCAGCCAUGUUCGCCAUACAAGUCUCGCACUUCAUCUUCCGAUCAAUCGUCCCCAGACGCGGGUCGCUCAAACCACCGAUCUUCGGCUUGCCUCUUUCCGUCGUCUCGCUGUGCUCUAUAUGCACAACAGACAUUUGUCUCUACAAAACACACCAUAAAACAAUAGACCAUCAUUUCCAACUCAAUCACACACUCAAUGCCGAAACUGAAAGUUCAAAACAUUCAAAGAAGUGAGAAUUACGAUCUCAUCGGGGCUGAGAAUGCCGAAUUGGACGACGCGGACUUUCGCGACCUCUGCCGGCGAGAAGGGGAACCGCAGAUCCAUUGCGACACCGGAGAUUCUACCCUAGGGUUUUCGAUUAUGAUUUAUUAUGCUAGCUGAUAUAUAAUAAUUCCAAAAUUAGAAACAAAUAUGGUUUUCAAGUACUUCAAAUUAUUCGCGGUUUCUGUUAAGUAACUGAUUUUUGGGGUUUUUGAAGAAAACUUUUUUCACGCUGCGCUCUUCUCUGAAGGAGGAGAGGCGGCUUUGAGACCAAAGAAGAGAAUGAGGGGUUGAAGGGGUAUUUAAAGAGAUGGAUGGCUUCGAAGUCGGCGCUUAAUGGGGUUGUUUGGCUACACAGUUAUGAGCUGGACAUCUUCCUCUCGUUUGGUCCAUCUAUUAAAAAAUCUUCUUAAUCUAUUUUUAAACAUAAUUUCAUCAACUAUUAUCCUUAUAAUUUUCAUUUUUUGUAAGACUCAUUUUUCACUUAUCAAGUAUACAAUUAAUUUUUAUUAAAAUUCAUGUCACCCUCCUUUAUAAAGAUCUUUGAGAAAUGAAGGGAGUGUUAAUUCCAAAUAUUUGGUAAAAUAAGUACAUAAAUACUCAUUUCGUCCCAACUUUUAGUAUCAAUUUAAGAAUGACACGUGUUUUAAUAAAGUUGUUAAGUGUGUUGUGAGUGGAAUAAGGGUCUCGCAUUUUACGUGAAUGUUAAAAUAAUUAAAGUGGAGUAAGGGUCUCACCUACUUUUACUAAAAAUAAAAAUGAAUAUCAAAAUAUGGAACGGCCAAAAAAGGAAAUAUGAAUACUAAAAGUUGGGACGAAGAUAGUAGUUUACAAGCUCUACAAAUAAGUUUCUACAAUUUAUAAGCUUUUCAAACUACAAACUUUUUACCAUAAAUUACUUUUUCAUAAUUUUAUACUUCCUUCAUCCCAAUUCNCUUAUAAUUUUUCAUUUUUUUGUAAGACUCAUUUUUUCACUUAUCAAGUAUACAAUUAAUUUUUAUUAAAAUUCAUGUCACCCUCCUUUAUAAAGAUCUUUGAGAAAUGAAGGGAGUGUUAAUUCCAAAUAUUUGGUAAAAUAAGUACAUAAAUACUCAUUUCGUCCCAACUUUUAGUAUCAAUUUAAGAAUGACACGUGUUUUAAUAAAGUUGUUAAGUGUGUUGUGAGUGGAAUAAGGGUCUCGCAUUUUACGUGAAUGUUAAAAUAAUUAAAGUGGAGUAAGGGUCUCACCUACUUUUACUAAAAAUAAAAAUGAAUAUCAAAAUAUGGAACGGCCAAAAAAGGAAAUAUGAAUACUAAAAGUUGGGACGAAGAUAGUAGUUUACAAGCUCUACAAAUAAGUUUCUACAAUUUAUAAGCUUUUCAAACUACAAACUUUUUACCAUAAAUUACUUUUUCAUAAUUUUAUACUUCCUUCAUCCCAAUUCAAUAGGCCACAAGACAAGGCUUGGACAUGGAUAUUAAGAAGCGAAUAGUUUAUAAUAAAAUACGAGAGAGAAAGUAGCUUUUUUUAGAGUAAAUUUGUGAAAAAAGUAGGAGAGAGUAGAGAUAAUUUUGUGGGAUCACAAUGAUAUUUGAUGUACAUAAUGAGUUGUGCGAAGGUGUUUGUUAUAUACUAUGAUUUUUUAUUUUAGGAAGUGACCUAUUGAAUUGGAACGUCCAAAUAAGGAUUCAUGACAUAUUUAAAUGGAACUGAGGGAGUAAUAUAUUUUACAAAAAUUAUUCAAUUAUACUUUAUUACUAUUUUCAUCAUAUACACUUUAAACCACUUUGCAAAAAUUAACUCAAUCAUAUAAAUACUUUCACAACUUAUAAGCUCUUACAAAAAUACAUUUUUAAAAUUUUUGAAACAUUUUAUAAAUUGCUACAAUUAUAAAUUUCUUAAAAUAAGCUUAUCCAAACAUCCCCUUAAUUCUACAACAAAAUUUUAACAAAUGGAGUAUAAAUGAGCUAUGAUUGGUAACAUAUUUUUCCUACAAAAAUAAUAAGCGAUAGGUAACAUAACUAGCGUGGGAACUAAGAAUCAAUCUGGUCUAUUAAUUUGAUUAAAUGAUCAUGAUUGAUUUCCAUAUUGAACAAUACAUAUAUAUGAUAAUGCAUCAGUUUAUGCCAGAAAUUAUGCCAUGCUGAUAAAUAAUACUCCAUUCGUCCCAAACGAAAUGUCCUAUUUCUUUUCGGUACGGAAAUUAAGAAAUGUGUAUAAAAUAGAUUAAGUGGGUUGGUGAAAAUUAUUUAAAUAUUAAGUAUAGAGAGAGAGUGUAGUGCCAAAAAAGGAAACAUGACAUUUCGUUUGAGAUAGCCCAAAAAGGAAAACAGUACAUUUCGUUUGGAACGGAGGGAGUAUAGUGCAUACUUAUAAUAAACAACGUAGUUUUAAGUGUGGUGCCCACUUCGGGGGAGCUUGUUGGAUUUAUAAUAAACGACGUAGUUUUCAUAUAUACAAAAAAUCCUCUUCCAUUGAGAUGGUUUCUUACAUUCUUGGCUUCAGCUGCGCAUGGCUUAUCUAUGCAUGCAUUAUUUUAGUUAUAAGCAAUUUAGUAAAUAAAAUAACAAAAUGGAUGGAUUAACAUUGCCACAAAACAUGAUGACACUAUUAGUAUUUUACUUCAAAGGGGAAGAAAAAAAAACUUUAUACGAAUGAAAGAAUGCCAUGUUAAACAAUCUCUCUUAGCCAAAUUGGAAAGCUAUGAGACCAAACAAAUGGACUACAAAUUAAAAAAGAGGUUAUAAAGUGACACGGGACUUAUACGCCACGUGCGGAGUUCAGCUGCCCGACUGCCGGAGUUCAGCUGCCCGACUGCCGGCCUGGUAUGAAAAUGAUUGGGUUAGGGUAGGGUGUCCCAUGCAACAAAUCCUCAUUCCACCUUCCCUUUGUCAGUUUCAUUUACCACACUAAGCCAUGUAAACAAUACCAACACAAUCACAAAAUCAGCAAAUCUAUUCGAACUCGCUUGGCCUAUGGUGAAAGCAGGAUGGAAAAGAAAGCAAAAUAAGCAAAGGUAAAUAUACCUGCUUGGACUGGAAGGAGAAAAAGAUGGUGAUGUUGGGCUGCAAAACCACAGAAAAUAAUAUGUCAAGGUAGCAUUUGAAAGAGAGUUUCACCAGUUCAGAAUAUAUCCUAGUCUUGUCGGGGAAAUAAAACAAAAAGAGUAAUACUCUAGGGAACAAUUUAUCCAGCUUCCUCUGUGGACAAUCAAGUAUAGAAACAGAGUAAUACAUUUAACCAAGGUUAUAUUUGUUAGCAAACUUGAAGAGCAAAAAUUAAAAUAAGGCUUGCCAAAAGUUACCUGAGACUCGGAGAAUAUGGACUGUACGGACUUGAAGGUGUGAUUUUUGGACUUGUAGGUGAAUAUGCUUGUGAAGGGCUAUACCUUGCUGAAGGAUUGUAACUUGGUGAGGUCAGACUGUAAGUCGGUGAGGUGGGACUGUAUCCAGGUGAAGUUGGGCUGUAGGCAGGAGAGGUAGGGCUGUAUGAAGGUGAGGUUGGGCUGUACGAUGGAGAGGUUGGGCUGUAAGAUGGUGAGGUUGGGCUGUAAGAGGGAGACGUGGGGCUGUAAGCCGGAGAAGUUGGGUUAUAAGCAGGUGAGGUUGGGCUGUAAGAGGGAGACGUGGGGCUGUAAGCCGGAGAAGUUGGGCUAUACGCAGGUGAGGUUGGGCUGUAUGCUGGAGAAGUUGGGCUGUAGCUCGGAGAUGUAGGGCUGUAGCUCGGAGAUGUGGGGCUAUAGCUAGGAGAUGUUGGGCUGUAGGAAGGAGACGUUGGUGAAUAAGAUGGGCUUGUGGGAG